GGUUUAGUGGUGUAGUUGGUUAUCACGCAUCCUUCACACGGAUGAGGUCCUGGGUUCGAAUCCCUGCUGAAUCA